UACAGAGGUCUCAAGCGUUGUUCGGAUUCAUUGGGCGUAAAGGGUGCGUAGGUGGUGAUGCAAGUCUGGUGUGAAAUCUCGGAGCUCGACUCCGAAAUUGCACCGGAUACUGCGUGACUCGAGGACUGUAGAGGAGAUCGGAAUUCACGGUGUAGCAGUGAAAUGCGUAGAUAUCGUGAGGAAGACCAGUUGCGAAGGCGGAUCUCUGGGCAGUUCCUGACACUGAGGCACGAAGGCCAGGGGAGCAAACGGG
rnacentral:rRNA from 1 species